GUUAUAGUGGUCAGCAACUGGGUGAUCCAGAGGGCCUUGACAGACUGAGCACAAGUGUUUGGCGAAACAGUUGCCUAGUCUACACUUGGUCG